GGUCAGAAUCUCAAAAGUUCCACAUAUUCGAAUCGUUACGUCUAAACAGGAGAUAUAUCAAAUGCAAGGCUAGAAUAAUUCAAAGUUCCUCAUAUUCAAAGCAAAUAUAGAGAUAAAAUUGCAGUAAGGAAAGAUCAGGACACUUGCAAUAGGAAAGAUUAGAAAGCUUGCAAUAGAAAGGAUCAGAACACUUGCCUUUCAAAGAUUUUGAACCGAAGAUCCAAAGAAGGUGUCAGCCCAAAUCCUUCUACUUUUCCUCUGUGUCCUCU
rnacentral:lncRNA from 1 species